GACGUAUAUUAGAAGGAUAGGAAAGUCCCUAUACCGCCUUGAUAGCAUCCGAGAAAUACCGCGUGCUACGAGAAAUCACGAGAUCUUGCAGAAAGCUUCAGCGGGAAGUGCCGCUUCGAGAUUUCUACAUCAAUUUGUUCUCAGGUGUUUUCAUUGACCAAUUUUACUAAACUGAUUGCCUUGCCAUUGACUAAGAAGUAUUAAAUAUUCAGAAUGCCUAAAAGGAAGAAAAGGCAGAAUGUGCCAUAUCACAGGAAAAGACGUGGAACUGGCAAAUUAAAAUUAGACAAAGGGCAAACUGAAAUACAUGCAAUUCCGCCAGACCUUGCACAUGAUGAAGAUCUUUUGCCAUCUGAAACAGAAGAGCUUAUAUGCACCAGUGUGGAUUCAGUCUCUUUGGAUCAUUCAUAUUUGUCUGAUAACCAGACAGUGGCAGAACUUUGUUUAGAUGAAGAAAUUGAUGUGGUUAUUGAUCAACAUAUUGAACUUGAAUGCCAAGAAGAGUGUGUAAUACAUGUAGUUUCAGAAGACCCUUACGAGGCAUUGAAAAAGACUGUUUGUACUAGUCUAACUUCUCCGUAUGUGUAUAAUUCUGCUGCCAGUGACAACUUGCAAAUUAUAGAACAUUAUCCGUCAUCUAAAAGUGUGUAUGUUAAAUUAAAUAUCAUAAUCAACAGAGAUUUUUCAGCUAAGGUAUAUGUUCACGGCAUCGAACUAAGUAGAGAACAUGACAUCUGGUUAGGAUUGUCAAGUGUGUAUGACAACAUAACAAGCAUUGAGAGACUAUUAUCUAAAUUAAGGAGUUAUACUGUUUGUAGUGGAAACCACGAGCAAGAGUUUCUAGAUAUUACUCCAGUUGGGAGCACCAUAGAGCAUGCCACAGAUGCACAGAGUUGUCGAGGUUUUAAAGAACAAGAUUUUGGUGCAGUUAAAGGGACUGUUAAUUACUCUUCAACAGUUCGCAAUGUCAGUUGUUUGUUACUAGUGCAAGGAAACAGAUGCUCACCAUGUACUCGUCUACGACGCAUUCU